rnacentral:rRNA from 1 species
GAUUAAGUUAUUAAGGGCGCACGGUGGAUGCCUUGGCACUAGAAGCCGAUGAAGGACGUUACUAACGACGAUAUGCUUUGGGGAGCUGUAAGUAAGCUUUGAUCCAGAGAUUUCCGAAUGGGGAAACCCAGCAUGAGUUAUGUCAUGUUAUCGAUAUGUGAAUACAUAGCAUAUCAGAAGGCACACCCGGAGAACUGAAACAUCUUAGUACCCGGAGGAAGAGAAAGAAAAUUCGAUUCCCUUAGUAGCGGCGAGCGAAACGGGAAGAGCCCAAACCAACAAGCUUGCUUGUUGGGGUUGUAGGACACUCUAUACGGAGUUACAAAGGACGACAUUAGACGAAUCAUCUGGAAAGAUGAAUCAAAGAAGGUAAUAAUCCUGUAGUCGAAAAUGUUGUCUCUCUUGAGUGGAUCCUGAGUACGACGGAGCACGUG